UACGUAGGUGACCAGCGUUGUCCGGAUUUACUGGGCGUAAAGAGCGCGCAGGCGGUCGUUCAAGUCGAGUGUGAAAUCCCUCGGCUCAACCAAGGAAGUGCAUCCGAAACUGCAGAGCUUGAGUACUUAAGAGGAUCGCGGAAUUCCCGGUGUAGAGGUGAAAUUCGUAGAUAUCGGGAGGAACACCAGUGGCGAAGGCGGCGAUCUGGGAAGAUACUGACGCUGAGGUGCGAAAGCGUGGGGAGCAAACAGG
rnacentral:rRNA from 1 species